GUGAUAGCUUAAUUGAAAGAAAACACAUGACUUGAAUAUAAGUUGUAACUCCCAAAUGUCCUGGCACAGUCACAACAAAACGAUACCAGAGAAAGUCACAGCAAAAAACAAACAAUGCAAGACAACUGCAAGCCAUUUCUUUCCGUAUAUUACAACGCUUCUGCAGUGCUCUUGGCAUGCACUGGACCCCCUGGACACAAACUGACACACACACAGAUGCACAGACACACAGAUACAAACACUAUCACACAGUUGUCUCAGGCCAACAGAGCACUGCUCGCUCACUGAUUGGCUAAUACUGUGUUUGCUUGUUAUUGAAUUCCGAUUGGUGGGUGGUGUUUUUGUACAAGCUCACAUCAGCAUGC